UGGCUCAGAGGGUAAAGCGUCUGCCUGCCAUGCAGGAAACCUGGGUUCGAUUCCUGG
rnacentral:tRNA from 1 species